CUAACCUGCCGGCGUCGUGGUUCUCGGCUGGUGUCCGUAUCGGUCGAGCUAAGAGGGAAUCCGGUGCGCCUUCGGGUCAGGCCGGAACUGCCCCCGCAACUGUGAGCGGCGAGCGGUCAUCCAAGAAGUGCCACUGGGCGUUUCCCGGGAAGGCUGGAUGAUCGCGUCGACCCGCAAGUCAGGAGACCUGCCACGUCGACAUACGUUCC
rnacentral:ncRNA from 2 species